rnacentral:lncRNA from 1 species
UUUGGAUGCAGGAAAGGAUGUGGAUUAAUAUCUUGGAAAGACUCAGUAACAUAUGAAAUAGAUGAAAAUGAAAUAAAAAUAUUUUUUCCUUUCUGCUAGUGGCACCUGGCUUGGAUUCAGCCAACCGGACAAAGAGGAAACAGACCUCACAUCUUGACCUUUCUCCUGCACCCAGGUCUUUGUUCAUUCCAGGUUUCAGAAUUUCAUUUAAUCAUUCACACGCCUAUUUUGGAGACAGGCAAAGUUAAGUGCUCAGUGAAAGGUGAGUCUUGGGAAACUCUCUAUCAGUCCAGCAGAAAGUGUGCUAUUUUGAAAUGGUCUGAUUCGCUUGGUGUACAACUAUUCUGUGCUGACUUGCAUCAAGAGGAGCAAAGCAAACUAAAUUAAGUGCUUCUUAGGGGGAUCACCUUUUUACAUGCCCGAACCUGAUAUGGGAUAUUAGCCAUUCUCACUGAGAAUUGCAGAGGAUAUUAAUUUUAAGAGGUACAUUUCUGAAGACUCUUCUAAACAAAGCAAGAUGUCAGUUUUAUUUCUCCCAAAACACAGAGGUGCUCAUGCAUCACAGUGUUACUCUGCUCUGUGGCAUGUAAUUUCACUGAGUGGAAUCACAUUGGGUAGAAAUAGCCCCAUGAUAUUCAUUUUC